rnacentral:rRNA from 1 species
GCUUAUGGCCGCACUACCGUGAACACACACAAUCUUGUUUGAUCUUGGAAGCUAAGCAGGGUCAGACCUAGUUAGUAUGUGGAUGGGAGAAAUGGACACCAUACUGC